rnacentral:lncRNA from 1 species
ACACAAAUAUAUCUUAGUCAAGUACUUACGAGGUUGGAAAAGAAUCUUAGGUGAAGGAGAAGUUUCAAGUCUCUCACAGUCACAGAUAAUAAGAGUUUUAGGAUCCUAUAUCUUCUCUAGCCAGCAGACUCUAUGUUGUGUCUCCAGAGGUCACACUUACUGUGGAAGCUCCACCAGAAGCUGUUUGAUACUGUGGAGAGAGAGGCAUUCUCUUCUGGAAAGGAUGCUACUUUGUAAGACAUAUUAUUUGGAAUCAGCAUUUUUAUUGUAUCAUAGUCUGCUUAAAAAAUAGAUCACAUGUAACACCAUAUGGAACUAAAUGAGAGUUGUUUGAAUUGGGUCAGUUCAUGGGUUCUGAUGCAAUGGACAGAGGGCCAGAUUUGAAGUAAAGCCUGGAUACAAACAUAGCUCUUCCAUUUAUGCACUGGUAACUAUAGGUGAGUCCUUCACUUUCUCUGAUCCUCUUUCCUCAUCAAUAAAGUCAGGAAUUUAACACAGGGAAUUAUUAACAUGGCCUUCAGAGCUAAUGCCUCAUAAAUUUAUUAUUUUAAGCAUUAUGAAAUGAAAUAGCAUUCAUAAAAGCAGCACAAACUGCUAAAAAAAAGGUUUGUUUAUAACCAUUUCAUGAAUUAAUCAAUAUGAAACUCUCAAAAAGAAACACGUUUACACAAUUUGUUUGAAUUAAUUCUCCAUUUUGAAGGUAAAACUGAGUAUUUAUGGAAUCACCCUGUUGAUAUUUCUUCUAAGAUUUUCAAAUGGGGUUGAAGAAAACCCAGCUUAAAUUUCAAAUGGGGUUGAAAAAAACCCAGCUUAAAUGGGUAGCCUCCAUUGUUCAUUUAUUUUAUUGGGUUUAUAAAAGUUGAAGACAUGAAGGUAGAAUGUUAGAAAGUAAAAUCUCAAUGUAUCUAUAUUAUAGCUGAUCACCACUAAAUUUUCAGACAUCUAAAAAAACCUACUUCCUUCCUAUAUUACUUGACCACAAACAGUGUAAUAAGCCUGAUUUAAAGGCCCUUUCCCUCUAAAAGUAUUAUUUUCAAUGUUCACCAAGACUGAGUUUUAUGAGUAAAAUUUUCUCCCCUCCAAUGUCAAAGGAACUCAGUGGUAAGAGUAUAAAGUGACUAAACAGUUUUAGCCCUAUCCUUCUUAUGAAAUAGCUUUGUGACCUUAGGCUAAUCACGUCACCUCUCUGAGCUUCCAAGUUCUAAUUUUCUAACAAUGAAGUGCCAGGGAGAUGAGAAUAAACAACUUCAACGGCCUUUCCAUGCCCAAAGACACUGCAGCAGAGCCGUCUAUGAAUGACAGAUGAAAUGCCUUAGAGUCUUAGUUCCAAACCACCUCCCCGGACAGUCGGAAAUCCCACUGGCUGGAGGAAUAAAUAAAUUCCUUAUCUUGUCAAGGAAGCUCCUCCCAAGCUACAAAAGUUGCAGACAGCAAAGGGAUCAAGUGACCCCAGAGAUGAAAUCUGUGACUCUCUGGUGGAGCAACAUGAUAGUAAUAAACAAAGGUUGAGUGCCUGCUGUAUAAAGCAACCUCUGGAGUGCCUGAUAUCUACUAACUCUUUUAGCACCCACUCGACCCUGUGAGAUGCGUAUUACUUUAUUGUAUCUACCACUGUAAAAAAGAAUGAACCAAGCUACAGCAAUAUUAUGUUGCUUGCCCUGAGUCACACAGCUGAGUAAGUCACAGGAGUUUGUGCUCAUAAUGACUUUGCUAUGCUGAUGUUUGAACCUGGAACCAUUCAGCAACCCUCCAGCUAAUAUGGCUCCAUGCUCUACUUCUGGAAAAGCUGAGUUCCUGCAGCCUUGUCCUACAUCACCCAAAAGAGCUGGAAAAGAAUGCAGUGAGUUCCAUUCUAUUUGUUCCGAGAAUAGGAAAGCCACAUUGAAGCAAUAUCUUAAAGAGAAAUCUAUAGUUAGGAGUGAUGAAGAUUUGAAACAGAUGUCAGCAGAAAGAAAAAGGGAGAGGCACCAUGAUAAUUAUACUCAGUGAUGCUUUUUAAAUGACAUAUAUUCAGUUAAAUAUAGGGAGGUUUGCUGCUAGCCAUAUGAACAAAGCACAAGAGAAUUCCUGGAUCAAGGCAGACUUAAAGAGACAUUGAAAAAAAAACAAAAUUCAAAAUUUUGACCUAGUGCAGGAAGAAGUGCAAGUACAGGGGAAGUGGAGGGAAGGAGUGGGGAGGCUGGCACAGAGAUGGCACGGGCAGAUACGAGCAGAUUGACUCGCCAGGACUGUCAUUGGGCCACCGCUCUUAGCAGGAAUUUCACCAUUGAAUGACCUAAUUAUUGUCUUGGGAAAAACACAAGAGCUCCUGUCCAUAACAGGAUAACAGAUGUAUUUCAGUGGAGCACAGAAUAGGCCGGAUGGUGACUAGCAAGAAUAAAAGCCCAAGUGGACUGAAGAAUCCAUCCAAGAUAUGGUCAGGACGGGCUUGUGGAAAACUUGUGCAAUAAUGAGAAGAAAUGUUAUUUGUCACUACCUUUUUUAGGCAGCUGUGUGGAUAAACCUACUUUGGGGUAGGAGCUGAGCCUCAGGCCUGUGACCGCUAGAAGCCAGACUUGAAGCCAGGAAAGAGGCCGCUCUUCCCAGGAGUUGGGAGAAUUUGACUUUGGUGUAGAAUCCAAAAGGCGGGAGAGAGGGUUCCAGGGAGGAGCUGGGGGUGGAGGCUAAAAAAGGAGCCCUGGUUGCCAAAGCCAGGAGGUGACUUUACAGGAGAGCAGCAGUGACUAAGCCAGGAAGUGACUUUGCGGGAGAGCAGCAGUGACUAAUUCAGGAGGUGACUUUGCGGAAGAGCAGCAGUGACUAAGCCAGGAGGUGACUUUGCGGGAAAGCUGCAGUGAUUGUGAAGUUGUUCACAUACAGGGGGUCAUGGGACACCCUCUACGAUCUCCCGUGGGAAAUCCUCAGUAAGCACUCUCACUCUAGCAAUAAGCACUCUCACUCUAGAAAGCCCUUUUGGUGCUUCCAGUCACAUUGCCUGGCCCACGCUCGGUGAGAGCUCACAUGCGCUUCUGGUCCUGGCCUUCUCAGACGCCACAGUAGCUGCCCACCCUGCAAAAGACCUGGAAGGGGAGGGGAGCCUGUGCCACAGCAGCCAGAGGAUGAAUGUCCUGUCAUGAACAAUUCCUGGGGGCACUAUGUACAUUUUGUAGAAGUCCUGCCAGAAUGGAACCUUGCUGUCUACAGCAGCGACCUUGAUAACACAUCAUUUGAUUUUUCCUCCUUUUGUGACUCAUGCUUCUGCUACCUCACCCUGGCUUCCUGAGAUCACCUCCCAGAUGAACUCCCUGCACUGAAUUCUGGUCUCAGUUUGCUUUGGGGAGAACUCAAAACUAAGACAUUCACCACUGUGUUUGUGUGAGCCAAAUCUUCACAUCAUGAGCAGGCGCUAUGUCUGCGUUCAGCCAGACAAACAGCAAACCAGCAACUGCCCACAUGAAUACAGUCCAUGGACAAGAGGAGAGUGAUAGCUGAGCGACUUUGGGACUUGCUGUCAAAGAUACCUGUCUCCCUCUCUUUCAUUCUCUUUACCUUUCCAUCAGACUAUGUGGCUGCCUCAUUCCCCCGUGUCCUGCAAGCAAGGAUAUUAACUAUACAAACAGUCCAGCUUAAAACAAAAUGGGCAGAAUAUUUGAAUAGACACUUCACAAAGGAAGACAAACAAAUUACCAAUAAGUGUGUUAACAAUUCUUAACAUCGUUAGUCAUCAGGGAAGUGGAAAUUAAUACCACAAGGAGAAAUCACUACACACUAAAGUGGCUAAAAUGAAAAAGAGUAAUGACAUCAAAUUCUAAUCUGAGUAUAGAGCAACUGUUGAUGGAAAUAUAAGAUGGUACAGCCACUUUGGAUAUAAUAAAAUGAUGCAACCACUUUGGAAAAGUUUGGCAGCUUUAUGUAAAACUAAGCAAAUACCUUUGGCCCAGCAAUUCCACUCAAGCAAUCCUUCCCUAAAGAAAUAAAAAUAUAUAUCCGCCAAAAGAUUUGUACAAGAA